CCGCUCGGCAUGGUUUUUGAGGAGGUGGUUAUUAUAGAUGCAAGAGAUCAUAUUUUGGGGCGUCUUGCGUCAAUCGUUGCGAAGGAGCUCUUACAGGGACAGAGAGUAGUUGUUACUAGGUGUGAGGGAAUAGUGGUUACCGGUUCUUUGUUACGCACCAAGCAAGCUUUUCUUCGGUAUUUGAAUAAGCGAACGAAUACUAAACCUUCUAGAGGCCCCUUUCAUCACAGAUCUCCUUCUCGUAUGUUUUUUCGCGUCUGUCGUGGAAUGCUUCCUCACAAAACUGCCAGAGGAGCUUCAGCGCUGGCUCGCCUUCGUGUCUACGAAGGAAUUCCUCCAGAGUACAGUAGAAAAAAGCGUAUGGUUGUUCCUGACGCCCUUCGGGUGCUACGGCAUACACCUGGCCGAAAAGUUACUCAACUGGGUUUGUUAGCUAAGGAAGUUGGGUGGAAAUAUGCUGAUACCGUUGAAGCAUUUGAAAUUAAAAGAAAGAGAAACAGUCUUAGGUUUUAUAAAAAAAAACUUGCUAACAGGAAAAGUUUAUUAGCUU